CAGAGUUAGGUCACUAAUUAGAUCGAUCAAGCAACAAAUUUAUUGACCAGUCAACGAUUCAGUGGUUCAAUUGAUGAAUUGAAAAAAAGCUACAAGUUAAAUCGUCAACUUAAAAAUUUUAUCAUUUUAAUAAUUUAAAAUAUAUUUUUAUAUUAUAUUAUAUAACUAUUAUGUAAGUCGCAAUUGAACAGUCCAAGCCGCAAUUGAACUAGUGACUCGAUCAUCUAUCCGAAUCAAACUUCAAGCCGGAUUUAAUAACUACACUUAUAACCAUUGGAUUUUGGUCCAAUGCCUGAGAGAACGUCCUCGAACUCCCGUGCACCGGGCGGGAAUUCAAAUUUGGCUUGGUGCAUUAAGUGGAAGUUUAGUGUCCUUUCGUCAAAAUAGUCAGUAGUGCAUUUGUCUGAUAUAAAAAAUUAGGUAGUGUAACAGUGCAUUUGUCCAAUUUGAAGGUUUAGCUCUAGCCUCGUACAACUCCAAGCUCCAACUAGGCUCUCCCAUCCCCUCACAGCAUAGUAAUAAAGUAGCUUGUUGACGAUUAUUUUAAACAAAAAAGGAGGAAGAAGUUGAAGUUGUGACUUGCGAUUACUUCCUUCCGUCUCAUUUUGAUAAUUCUAUUUUUUUUUCACACAGUUUAAAAAAAAAUAGUUAACUUUGUUGAAAAAAUAAAUUUAAAUUGUUAUUUUCCUAAAAUAGUCUCACAUUAAAUAUGAUACAAUUUUAUAAGAACUUGAAUUGAUGAUAAAAAAAAAUCAACUCUCGUUAAAUAGGAUAGGUUUAUAGUAAUAACUACUUACAUUGAAUAAGGGUAUUUGAAAAAAAUUAAAAUACAACUACAUUAUUUAAUUAAAAAAAUGGAUUAUAAUUUGGGACAUUAUUUAAUUAAAAAAAUGGAUUAUAAUUUGGGACAGAUGAAAAAGAAAUACAGAAUUAUCAAAGUGGGAUUAUCAAAGUGAGACGGAGGGACUAUUAAUUUACUAAAAAGGAAAAAGGGAAAAAAUAAAAGUAGUCAAAACUAAUCAACAGAAUAGUCAAAAAGUUGCUGCACCAUGGUGCUAGCACGCAGUAACAAUGUAAGAUAGCACAAGAGGACUACCCAAUCACUAAAAACCAGUCCAAUACUCGAAUUAACUUUGAGCUCGGAGCAGAGAAGAAAUUGAGGCUGGACAGAGAGAUGGGAUUUCUCAAGGGUGGUUGCCCCUCUCUGCUGAGCCAAUGAUUUUCUUUUUCAGUGCCGCCGCGAAACCAACAGCCCUUGUAAACUCUGGAAUUGGAGGAUACAUCAAUGGCUUUACUAGCUACUUCCAGUAUGAUGAUCUUCUAGCUUCAAUGUCUGUCGUUUAUCAGUUUCUGCAUCUUUGACACCUUGAUGACAAUGAUAAUGACCUUUCCACCGUCGACGUACCCGAUCAUUUACAUACUGUACCAAGAAAAGCAGAAGGGGAAUGAAUUUGAGGCUGUGAUGAUGACCUCUCUGAGCAAUGAAAUUUGGGGCAUUGAGAAAAAAAGUGGCCGUAUCUUGGCUGUGCAAUCCAGAUGGCAGAACUAGUUCAUGCAACUGGUAUUUGCAGCCAUGGCGGUUCACUCUCGUUGCCUAACUGUUAUAACAGAUCUGAGCCUCAUUUUUUUCUCCUAAUUUCUUACCCACUCGAAUCAACUCAUCAUGCAGCAUUAAGAAAAUAUUGCUUUUUGUGGGUGCAUUUGUGAAAAUUCUUAUAGUUCUGAUAAGAAAAUAUUGAACUUUAUAAUAAAUCAUUUACUCAAAAAAAAAAAAUUUUUUUGGCUAACAGCCCAGAUCAUUACUAUCGUUAUUAUUUUGGUAUCCCAUGUUUACUUCAGUACUCAAAGCCUUAUUCUAAAGCAGCGAUUUGGUUAUUUUCUUGUUUCACAUAAUUUGUUGAAAGAAAUGUUACUCGCUUUUGUACCAUGCCUUUGUGAAUGAAUUUGUAUGCAUCAAUUUUACUGGAUAAUUUGGUUUUCACCGUUUUACUUAGUCUUGUUUUGUGCUCUGCCUAUUCUUUUGUGGCUUGGAUUCCAUGAUGUAAAGGUCCUUCGAUUUUGUCAAAAUAACUACUGGCCCAACCCGGGUAGCUCGAGCAGUUUCGUUGCUCCUCUUUAGGAAAUGACGACCACGGUUCGAGUUCCGGACGUGUUUGAGGAGAUUGGGCCUCUCCUCUUAGGCCGCAGGAGGAGUAGUCAUGGUUUAAAGACUCGGCCGAGACCAAGACGACUCGGCCGAGUCGUCACUAGAACGGAACGAGAUGAUUUCGAAAUAAUGAAUCGCCAAUAACUCGGCCUAAACGGAUCGAAACAGCCGAAUCACCUCGAGUCAUCCUGAGUUAGCUCGAGUUUUUAUUAUUUUUGCUAAUUUUUAAUUAUUUUUUAUCAUAUUUUUAAUAAUUUUUAGAAUAUUAAAUAUUUUAAAAAUUUGCGUCUUACCGAAACCGCGACCAAUAUGUCGAGACUGAUGUGAAACGGUCCAAGCCGCGACCGCAAUCGCGACCACGACCUUGAACCAUGAGAGUAGUCGGGCUGAGGACCCGGAUAUCCCUGUGUCGAAAAAAAAAACUACUGAUAAAACAAAACAAAAUAUUUUCUUCCGUAAAAGACAUAAUAUGGUCAGUAUCUCAUAUUAGUCUGCAGCCAAUGAUAUAAACUCUCAUGUUGUUUUCGGGAUUUCCUUUUUACUGCUUCUUAGUUAAAAUUUACCUUUUAUCUUAUUCUAAGGGAACACACAAAAGUGAUAUUUCCUGUUUACUUUCAACGGUAUUUCUUCUUUUUUUCUUUGCCCCCCUAAACCGGUGACCGGUGCCAUGAAUUAACGCAUGGUUUUAUUGCCUAAAUGGUCUGUACUUUGUGGAGGACUGCACCGCAUUGAAAUUGCACCAACUAGGCUUGAUUUUGGUUUGCUCAAAAGUAGAACGAUCCGAUCCAGUCAAUGGUAGUAAUUGGUUUGCUCAAAAGGUAGAAGAAUCCAUUCAAUGCUGUACCAUGAAAUUAGUGCAGGCCAUACGAAUUGUCACAUUUACGAUGAUGGGGCUUUCCAAUGUCUCUGAGAAAUUUCAUCCGGUGAUGAACAACUACUUGGAUUGUACUUCUUUGGAUUGUUCUCAAUAAAGACCCUAUAAUCUUAUUUGUCCAUAUUUCCAUUGAACCGAUUUUUUAGAACUAAUUUUGGUAAUGAUUUGAAUUGUGCGUUACCAAAUUUAAGGGUCGUCAAUAAAAUCAUAUUCAAUGUGCCACUAGUAUAUGCUGAUUUCCCAUAGACCACCAAAAAAAAAAAAAAAAGAGGCCAACAUCGAGCACCUUCAUGUUCUUAAGAAAGUUAAGCUAUGUAAUUACUCCUUGCAUCCCACUUUGAUAGUAUCGUUUUUUUCCUCACACAGUUUAAAAAAAAUAAGUUAACUUUGUUGGAAAAGUAAAUUUAGUCUAAUUUUUUCUAAAAUACCCGUCAAUUAAUAUUAUCACUAAUCACUAUUACAUUAAUUACAAGAGUAAUAAUGAUGGUAUUUUGCACCAUUCAAAAUAUAUAUACAUACACACACAUAUAUCAAAAUAAUUAUUGGUAGAAAACUUAAUUGUAUUAAAUAAGAUAUGCCAUAUCUAUUGAUAAUGAAUUAUAUUAAAAAGAGUAUUUUAAAUAAAUUAAAAGUUAACUAGAUUAUUCAAUUGAAAGGUGUAGAUAAACUAUAAUUUGGGAUAGAUAAAAAAGAAAAAUAACACUGUCAAAGUAGAACAAAAAAAGUAUAAAAUAUUAUUUUCUUACUUUAUACGAAUUAGACAUGGUUGAUUGAUUUGUUCACAGUUAUUGUACUAUUAAUGGGAUUAAAUCCCCUAAGUAAGUCCAUGAAUGAAAUGGGCAUCCCCAUCGAGGCAUCGACCAUACCAAUGAUGUUGGCCCAAAAUGUAAGUAGAAAGCAGUCAAGUACUGCUAAGACGAGCGUGUAGUCAGGCAUAAGAAUUCACGCUCGGGCCGAAGAAGACAAAUUCUCAAACCCCUCCAGGAACACCAAUACGCACAGUUUACUAUGAACAGCGUUUUGACUGCCGUAACAUUUGUCCGUGGCGAAUUUUUCUUAAACAUUUUAGUUAUUUACCUGUUUCUUUUCUUUGGUUAUAGUCUGUUUUGAAUUGUGAUGUAAUUAUGUCAGUGUAUUUUCUUAAUUUUUCUUAAAAAUAAUAAAAUAAAAAUUGACAUUAAUUGAAAGGUCAAGUAACACAUUACUCAGAUGGAUUGGAAGGGAAGAAUGGAUUGAAUGGUACGAAGGUAAGAAAUAUUAAAUGAGAAAUCUCGAAUUCGAAUCCUUCUAUUUAUAUAAUUUUUAAAAAAAGACCCAUUAGAUUAAGAUCUCAAGGCCUUGUUUGGAUUGCAUUUUCUUGAAUUUUUUGUAAAAAAAUUACUGUAGUGAUUUGAUAUAUAUGAGAAAAAAAGAUAAUAAAAAAAUAUAAUCACUAAAAACAACGCAAUUUUUCGACGAAAAAUGACUGUCCAAACGGAUGUUUCUCUUUUCUUUUGUUUGUUCUAGGCAUAAUUAGUAAAAUAAGAGAUGGACACUCUUUGUAGAAAAAAAAAUGAUGCGCUUGAUCGUAAAGAGAUUAUAUGUAUGCAUACUAUAUAAAUUUUUUAAAAGUACAAUUAAAAAUUUUCACAGAAAUACGAUCCGUACAAAUUUGAAAGUAAAUAGACUGUAUAAAAAACAAAACGCUCCGUCAUGAGACGGGCCUCGAAAGCGCUCUUUAAAACACUUGAUGGCUAGCGGUCCAUAACAAGGACUGGCUUGUAGCCUCCCUUGACACAUUCUCCAGACACACAUCAACAUAAAAGGAUUGAGGAUUCAAAUAUAUAUUUUUCAAUCAGGGACCAAAAGGGGUAUCAAAAUGAUAUACUAAAAAAUGUUUUUUUUUUUUUAAAGAAAAAAACAACAGAAAGAUGAGGCUCAGAUUUCUUUUAUGAAUCGGACAGAGACAUUGACCGCGCCAUGGCUGCAAAAUCUGCAGCUGCUCAUACAUGAGACGAGACCAACUGCUGAGUUUGCCCAGCCAAGUUACGGGUCGGUUCGUCUCCAAUGUCCGAUUUGAUACGCUCAGAAAUAAUGCCCAACAAAUAUCAUCACCGCCUCUUUUCCAUAAACGCCGAAUCCCUCCACCACCACCACCACCUUCAUCUCAUAUUACACCGUCGCCAAAAAGAAAGAAAAGAAGAAAAAGAAAACUCGCAACGAGGGCUUCUUCCCUGUUAUUGUUAAACACACACACACACACACACACACACGUGUGUUUGUGUACAUAUAUAUAUAUAUACAUAUAUUUCCCUGGCUAUGUUCGAAGGGCUGUUGGUUUUUUAGUAACCAAUGGCGAAAUCAUAGGCAAAGCAGAGAUGGGCAACCACCCUUGAAGAAAUCCCGUACUCCUCUGCUGCUGCCUCAUUCGUUCUUCUUUCUGAGCUGUAUAAUCAUCAGAGAAAAGGCUAAGCCCGCCGUGGCUGCAAAAACCGCCAUUGGGAGAUUUUGCCGAGCCAAGAUACGAGCUAGCUCAGAAUCUGACUUAAUUUGGAAGAGGCGGAUAUCAUCGAAGCUUCUGAUUACAAGGAUUUAGGAUUUAGGGUUUUUGUGGAAUCACUAGAGAGGUUUGUACUACAUCUGGCAAGCAUCAACAGGGGCUGUUUGCUUGUAUUGAAAUCAUCGGCAGCGUAGUUGCAGAGAGGGGCAACAACCCACCCAAAACUCCCAACCUCCCUGCCCCAAAUUACACUGCCUCAUCCAAAGGGCAGGCGUUCAAAGACUCGGCCGAGUCUGAGUCGUCAGAACUUCAGCUUCCGUUCCGCCAUAUCCUGGAGAAGGUAGACCCGGUGGAACCUCGUUCAGACUCGGAAAAUUCCGGCUCAGUCAACUCCGGGACUCAAAAGAGCGCCCGAGUCUACCGAGUCAAACCGCAUUGACCCAUCAGAUAUCCAUGAAUGAGGCUUUCACCAUGAUUUUCAGAGACACAUUGGGGUAUCAAAAAUUUUAAAAAGAAAAAAAAAAACUCACCGGUAUCCAAUGUAUGAGAAAUUGCGCAGAAAGACAGCCAAUAACAAAUCAAUCUUUAACCCAAAAUUCUCUCUUUGAAGACUCUUCACUAUACAGCAAGUGGGUGGCAGAGGUUGAAGAGGAGCAGCAGGAAAAUAAAGGGUGAAGAAGACGAGGCGGCUUUAAUAUCCUAUGCAAGGGGGUGGUGGCUCAGAUCUCCUUAUCAUCAUCAGAGAAAAGGCUAAGCCCGCCAUGGCUGCAAAAACCACUCUUCCGUGAUUUUCGCCCAGCCAAGAUACGGGCUAGCCCCAAAUCUGACACAAUCUAAGAAAGGAAGAUAUCAUCAAAGCCUCCAAUUACUAGUGGGAUACAGAAUUUAGGAUGGACUGGCCUGUGAAAUCAUGAGGGAUGUCUGACCUUUAUCUCGCGGCAUCAUGCAUCAUGAAGGGUUGUUUGUUUUUAGCAUUGAAAUCAUCGGCAGCAGCGUAACUGCAGAGAGGGGCAACAACCCGUUCCCAAAAACUCCCAACCUCCCUGCCCCAAAUUACACUGCCUCAAUCGAAGAAGGAUUCUCCCCAUGGUUCAAAGACUCAGCAAGUGGGUGGCAGAGAUUCAAGAGAAGGAGAAGGAAAAAAUAAAAAGGGCAAAGAAGACGAGAAGGCUUUCAUAUCAUACGCAACGGGUGGUGGUGGUGAAAUUUGGAGAGGAGAGUGAGGUAACCAGAAUGAAAGGCAGAUGGCUAAGGAUGGUCGAAGUUAAGCGCAGGUCCUUCGGUUGCUUUGAUCAGAUAUAUUGCCGAUCUGCUAUUGAAGCUGUACAGAGUAGUAUAAAGGGAUAAUUUCAGAAACCUCAAGAGGGGUUCAGGGUUGUUUGUUUGCAGUGAAAUGAAAUCAUCGGCAGCAGCGUAAUUGCAGAGAGGGGCAACAACCCAUUCCCAAAAACUCCCAACCUCCCUGCCCCAAAUUACACUGGCCUCAAUCCAAGGAUCUUCCCUACUCCCCCAAGGGAUUAGCAAUUUAGGCAUUUAGGGUUCAUUUCAGAAAACCUCCCCUGGGGAAAUGGAACUUCCUCCGCCUAGAGAUAAGAUAACCUCCUUUACCACGUACUUGAGACUUGACUGUCCCCCAAAAAAAAAAAAAAA
rnacentral:lncRNA from 1 species